CCGCAUUCUGCACAAAUUUUUCUAUAAAAUAUGGUAUAUGAGAUUCAUAUAGUCCACAAAAUCUGAAAAACUCUGAACUUCAAGGCACAUCCAGCCCUAACGCUUCCUAAGCAUUUUAUAGGAAGUAACUGAUUUACUUGAUGUGUCAAUUCUUGAUUGGGUGGGCAGGAGAAGGGGGGAGAUCUGGGAGGUUUUGUGGGGAAGCGGCACUUCAGCUGAUCCUGAAGCGGAGUGCAGAGUAACCAUGGGUACAAGGCCAAGAAGGGCAGCAUUCCAGUAGGCAGUGGCAGCCUGUAAGAUUCCAGAGGAAUGGAAGUGAGAAUGUACCUUGGAACUGUGGUACUUCGGUAGAGCUGGCAAGGAGAGGGUGAGGGAGAGCACCAGGUUAGGAAGCUGUCCGGCAUGGUAGAGAUUAGAUCACUGAAGGCCUCACAUGUACAGCUGAGGAGUUCCUAAUCUAUCCUACAGGCAAUGUGGAGUUGUAGGUUCUAGCAGACGAGGGCCAGGUCAGACUUGUGUUUUGGGGAGUCCCAGGUAGGUGAGACACGCCUCCAAGCUGCUUGCUGAAAUCCAUAAUCACUCUGCCUACAGCUUCCCCCAACCCACCCCGACCACACAUGGAAAUGAGACUGCUUUGGCAUGGUUUGCCUGGCACAACUCAACUUCUAGAAAACAUAUCUGUAAGAAUCGAUCAUGUCGUGGCAGGAAACCAACAAGGAAGCAGAUUUUUGGCUGGUUCAAGUUCGACAGGCAAUUUCAACACUGAGAUUGGGGGGAGAGGAUAUAGCCUGUAAAAGAGCAGACGGUGUGUGUCUUGUGAUGUUACUGGUUUUAGAGGGACCCUAAGAGGGUACGUACAUGAAUUGAGUCUAUUCGGCUAGGUCCCCCGAUUUAUGGCACCCCACCGUCUGCAACUAGUAGUGGCCCCCACUCCCAGUUCUUUGGUCUGCUAUCCUUCUCCGUUCAUAACCCUGCCCCUCUUCCCAAUGCAUCCACCCAUCUAGUGCAUGUUCUUUUGGGAUGUCUUCUGUAUCUUUAUUCACAUGUAUUUAAAUAUAUAACAUUGCCUUGCGUGUGCUUUUAAAAGCCUAUGGAAGUGAUAUUGUUGUACAAAUAAUCCUGCUUCUGACUUUUUUCUUUUGACGUUAUCUGUAAGGAGAUGUAAGUCAUUCCCUUUGACUGGUGGAAUAUUUCAUCUUGUGCAUUUUCCAUGUUUUACUUAUCCAUUUCUUUACUAAUGGAGGUACAAGUUGCUUCCGAUUCUUUGCCAUUUUAAACAAUACUGUGAUGAGCAUCUUUGAACACGGCUACAACAGAAGCUACACAGUCAAACAAACCUGGAUCGAGUUCAAUUUCUUUUUUUGUUUGUUUGUUUUUUUCUUUUUUGUUUUUAUUUUUAUUUAUUUUUAUUUUUAUUUUUCGAGUUCAAUUUCUGCCACCCCACCCAGUGUACGAACUUGAGCCUCAGUCUUAUCAUCUGUUACCAAAAAAGGGAGCUUAGGGGAAAUAAAAGCGACCCUCUCUCCUAGGACUGCUUGUGC
rnacentral:lncRNA from 12 species